rnacentral:sRNA from 1 species
GCUGGGCAUGGUGGUACACGCCUGUAAUCCCAGUGUCUUAGAAGGCUGAGGCAUGAGGAUCACCAGUUCAAAGUCAGUCUCAGCAACUUAUCGAGGAACUAAGCAAUUUAGUGAGACCCUGUCUCUA